CCAGGACACUGGCCUGAGACUGUCUGCAGUUGCACAGCAGAUCCUCCUGCCCGGCUGGCCCGACCCAGUCUAACCUCAGUCUCUACUGCUGCAGCUCGAGGACAAGCUCUCCUUCGAUCCCGCCGGACGCCGGGAGACGUGACCCAGAUCCUGGGGAACACUGUUCACCACGCGGACCCCUCCCCAUGCUGGUCCCCGACUCCGUGAUGGCCGGUCUGCACCCUGCGCAGCCCGAGGCCUGGCCCGCGCCCCUCUAGAGCCUUCAUGCAGAAUCGGGGGACUUGGCGGUGAGAAAGGCCUGGCCCAGCUUGGAGGGUAGAAUGGACGUGGGGGAGGCCUUGCCCGACCCCCAGCCCGAAGCCCCUGACUCAGGCCAGGCCGCCGCCCGCACUCCCCACCUUGCUCACCUUUGCGCUUGGAUCCAGGGCCAUAGAGACAGCGACGCGCGGCUCCGCGGCCCCACAGCACCAGCUGCGAGAGGAAGGGGCCGCGGCUGGAGGCGGGGCGGGGGCUGGAGGCGGAGCCGGGGGUGGGGCGGGGUCCUGGAAGGCGGGGCCGACUGGGUGGGGUGAGGGGAAGGUCGCCGUUCUCUUCUUUGCGCCCCCUGCUCUAGCACAAUAGAGGCGGUUUGAGAGCGAGGCUCACACACAGCCUUCGGCCAUCCGGCGACCCCGCGCCUCUAGGCGCUACGGCCCUGAUAAUCGCCCCCUGGUGGUGGCCUCGCCACCCCGUGCACCCUCCACAUGCUUAUAGCCCGCCCUCUCCUCCCCUGUAACCCUAGGAUCCCCCCGACUUGCCUACUGCUGGGGACGUGCAAACCUGCCCUGGCGUUGAGGGGUUGGGGGACCCUCUCGGAGGGCCUUCUGGCCUGUCCUCUAACCUGGACUUCACUCCCUGCGCUCCUGCCACUCGCUUCUGCUCUAGGACGUGGAGGGAAGGCUACCCUAGGUGGAGACUGGAGGUUGGGGAAGCUCUGAACACAAGGAAGGGGCUUGAUUCCCAGCUUCAGGGGCUGUUCAGCUUGAGCUAUGCGUGGGAGAGAUGGGGUCAGGCCUGAAGGGGAUGAAGUAACAGCUUGACCUGAAAGGCACACAGAAAAUGCUUUUUCUGGAUAAAUAAGCCACAAGCAUUUGCACCUGUUCACUCACCAAAUCUUAACCCUAACCUAGGCUCACCUCAGGGACUGGGUCAUUCAAACACUUGCCUUCCCCUCCAGCUCAUCUUGGGCACCAUUCUUAUCCAGAACUUAGAGUGCAUCCUUCUAGGCAAUCAAAUACCCUGUCCUUCCCAGAUUCAAUCACCUUACCCAGUAGCAAUCUAGGAAACCCCUCACAAUCAACUCCCCAACUCCUUUAACUCAAUUAGGAUGGUCCUUCUGUGCAAACUUGGGUCCUGCCUCCUUUAAUAGGUCACAGCCUAUUAAAGUGAACUUAGCCCCUAUAGUCCAAACAAAACCUGCAUUCAGGCUCUGACCCAGCCUGGUCCUUCCUCCUCCAUCCAUGACAGUAUUCAUGUGGGCUCAAGAGAUGGACCAAAAUGAUAAAGUCCACAGGAACAUAUGUGAUUGACUCUUGCACAUGCCUAGGAGUCAGAACAGGAUUCAAGUGGCACAUUUAACCAAAGGAACCUUGGGAAAGACACUUCAUCCUUCUUUCUGGAUUCCCCAAAGCUCACAGUUUGGCACUGAAUCAUAUACAAUCUCGUAGUUUGGAUGGCUGUGUGUGACUGCAGACUGCUAGACAGCAGGGCCCACAUCACAGUUCCACCUCCCCCAACACUCUGCAAAUAGGAUAUGUGUGGCGGGGAGAGGGAAGGUAGCUGGGGAGAAACACAAUAAAAAAUGUACACAUGCUUUUACAAAGAA